GCAUAUCAAUAAGCGGAGGAAAAGAAACCAACAGGGAUGCCCCUAGUAAUGGCGAAUGAACAGGCAAAAAGCUUCAGAUUUGAAACCCUCGGGAUUGUAAUCUGGAGGCCUGGAUUUGGCGCGCUGACCAAGUCUCCUGGAACGGAGCGCCAUGGAGGGUGACAGCCCCGUAGCAGCAGCCAGUGCAAAUCCGGGCCCACGAGUCGAGUUGUUUGGGAAUGCAGCUCUAAGUGGGUGGUAUGCUCCAUCUAAAGCUAAAUAUUGGCGAGAGACCGAUAGCGAACAAGUACUGUGAAGGAAAGAUGAAAAGAACUUUGAAAAGAGAGUGAAAAAGUACGUGAAAUUGUUGAAAUGGAAGGCAAUGAGGUGCGAUUGCGCCGGGCGUUUGGGGGCAGGACAAAAGCGCAGGCCGCUUCGGCACUGCCUGCGUGCAUGCUGCCUCCCGGACCACCGGGGCUAACAACGCCUUACUGCACCCGUCUUGAAACACGGACCAAGGAGUCUAUUGCCUAUGCGAGUGUUUGGGUGGCAAACCCAUACGCGCAGUGAAAGCACACGGUUCGAACCCAUUUCGGGGGCAGAACCGGCCGAACUCUCCAGGGAGUAUUGAGCAAGCAUAUGUGAUGGGACCCGAAAGAUGGUGAACUAUGCCUGAGUAGGGUGAAGCCAGAGGAAACUCUGGUGGAGGCUCGCAGCGGUUCUGACGUGCAAAUCGAUUCGUCGAAACUUUGGGUAUAGGGGCGAAAGACUAAUCGAACCAUCUAGUAGCUGGUUCCUGCCG
rnacentral:rRNA from 1 species